rnacentral:rRNA from 1 species
AGAGUUUGAUCAUGGCUCAGAACGUACGCUGGCGGCACGCCUUAUACAUGCAAGUCGAACGAAGUAGCAAUACUUAGUGGCAGACGGGUGAGUAACAUGUGGGUAUCUUCCCUUUGGUGAGGAAUAACACGAGGAAACUUGUGCUAAUACCUCAUAAGUCUUUACGGAGAAAGCUUUAUGCGCCAAUGGAUGAGCCCGCACUUGAUUAGUUUGUUGGUGGGGUAAUGGCUUACCAAGACUUUGAUCAAUAGCUGAUCUGAGAGGAUGAUCAGCCACAUUGGGACUGAGACACGGCCCAAACUCCUACGGGAGGCAGCAGUAGGGAAUAUUGCACAAUGGAGGAAACUCUGAUGCAGCGAUGCCGCGUGAGUGAAGAAGGCCUUUGGGUUGUAAAGCUCUUUCGUCGGGGAAGAAAAUGACGGUACCCGAAUAAGAAGGUCCGGCUAACUUCGUGCCAGCCGCCGCGGU